rnacentral:rRNA from 1 species
GGCGAGUGGCGAACGGGUGAGUAAUACAUCGGAACGUGCCCUGUAGUGGGGGAUAACUAGUCGAAAGAUUAGCUAAUACCGCAUACGACCUGAGGGUGAAAGUGGGGGACCGCAAGGCCUCAUGCUAUAGGAGCGGCCGAUGUCUGAUUAGCUAGUUGGUGAGGUAAAGGCUCACCAAGGCGACGAUCAGUAGCUGGUCUGAGAGGACGAUCAGCCACACUGGGACUGAGACACGGCCCAGACUCCUACGGGAGGCAGCAGUGGGGAAUUUUGGACAAUGGGCGAAAGCCUGAUCCAGCAAUGCCGCGUGUGUGAAGAAGGCCUUCGGGUUGUAAAGCACUUUUGUCCGGAAAGAAAUGGCUCUGGUUAAUACCUGGGGUCGAUGACGGUACCGGAAGAAUAAGGACCGGCUAACUACGUGCCAGCAGCCGCGGUAAUACGUAGGGUCCAAGCGUUAAUCGGAAUUACUGGGCGUAAAGCGUGCGCAGGCGGUUGUGCAAGACCGAUGUGAAAUCCCCGAGCUUAACUUGGGAAUUGCAUUGGUGACUGCACGGCUAGAGUGUGUCAGAGGGGGGUAGAAUUCCACGUGUAGCAGUGAAAUGCGUAGAGAUGUGGAGGAAUACCGAUGGCGAAGGCAGCCCCCUGGGAUAACACUGACGCUCAUGCACGAAAGCGUG